CCCAUUAUUCAGAUAUCCCCCACCUAGAAGUCAAGGACGUCAUAUGACGGCGUGCGGUAGGGAAGUGGUUAAUGACAAGUAAGGACACCGAGGUGGUUAUGUAGGGACCUCUGCGUCAAUCGGGGACAAGACCUUCGUUUUGCCACAAUGCAAACCCAACGCUGUGCACUAAGAAGUCAAUUAAUCUUUAUUUGGCUCUGAGAACUUGGCGAGCGUUGAUAACGGUAUGUUUGUCUUGCUUCUCUGAAAUGUUUUUAGCACCUGCAUGUAACCGCCUUCUGUCAACAUUAUAAUAAUAAAAAAAUAAAAUAAAAAAGGGUUGGGUCGCCUACCAGCCUCUUGAAACAUUCCCACAGCUUCAAGGAGAAGUCUUUUGUCUAUAUGCACUUUAACUGCAGGCCGGACUUGGAGUGCAUGCCAAGCAAUGUGGUCUCCACUGGGUGGAUCUUUCACCAUUCCUAUGAAGAAACUCGCAAAGUUGCUCGCUAUGAAAACUGAGAGAGGGCAAGAUUGAGGUUGACCCCGAGAGUUCAGGGCAAGGCUGAAGUUUGACUGGAGUGUAGGGUAAGACGGAGGUCAUUUCUGAGAGUUUAGAACAAGGCUGAGGUCGGCCAUGAGAUUUUAGGACAAGGCUGAGGUCGGCCAUGAGAUUUUAGGACAAGGCUGAGGUCAGUUCUGAGAGUUUAGGACAAGACUGAGGUCAUUUGUGAGAGUUUAGAACAAGGCCGAGGUCAGUUCUGAGAGUUUAGGACAAGGCCAAUGUCAGUUCUGAGAGUUUAGAACAAGGCCAAUGUCAGUUCUGAGAGUUUAGGACAAGGCCGAGGUCGGCCAUGAGAUUUUAGGACAAGACUGAGGUCGGUCCUGAGAGUUUAGGACAAGGCUGAGGUCAGUUCUGAGAGUUUAGGACAAGGCUGAGGUCAGUUCUGAGAGUUUAGGACAAGGCUGAGGUCAGUUCUGAGAGUUUAGGACAAGGCUGAGGUCAGUUCUGAGAGUUUAGGACAAGGCUGAGGUCAGUUCUGAGAGUUUAGAACAAGGCCGAGGUCAGUUCUGAGAGUUUAGAACAAGGCCGAGGUCAGUUCUGAGAGUUUAGAACAAGGCCGAGGUCAGUUCUGAGAGUUUAGAACAAGGCAGAGACCAGUUCUGAGAGUUUAGAACAAGGCCGAGAUCAGUUCUGAGAGUUUAGAACAAGGUCAGUUCUGAGAGUUUAGAACAAGGCAGAGGUUCGUUCUGAGAGUUUAGAACAAGGCUGAGGUUCGUUCUGAGAGUUUAGAACAAGGCCUAGGUCAGUUCUGAGAGUUUAGAACAAGGCUGGGGUUGGACCUGGGAGCUCAUGACCAGACUGAGGUUGGACAUCAAAGCUUAGGGCAUGACUGAGGUUAGUCCUUUGGAGUUCAGGACAUGGCUGAGGUUGGACCUAAGGGCUCAGGGUAAAGCUGAGAUUGUAUCUGAGAGCUCAGGACGAGACUGAGGUUAGUCCUUGGUGUUCAGGACAUGGCUGAGGUUGGAUCCAAGGGCUCAGGGUAAAGCUGAGGUUGUAUCUGAGAGCUCAGGACGAGACUGAGGUUAGUCCUUGGUGUUCAGGACAUGGCUGAGGUUGGAGCCAAGGGCUCAGGUUAAAGCUGAGGUUGUAUCUGAGAGCUCAGGACGAGACUGAGGUUAGUCCUUGGUAUUCAGGACAUGGCUGAGGUUGGAUCCAAGGGCUCAGGGUAAAGCUGAGGUUGUAUCUGAGAGCUCAGGACGAGACUGAGGUUAGUCCUUGGUAUUCAGGACAUGGCUGAGGUUGGAUCCAAGGGCUCAGGGUAAAGCUGAGGUUGUAUCUGAGAGCUCAGGACAAGACUUGGCUCGGACCUUGGCAUUCUGGGCAAGACCGUGGUGGGACCUUCGAGUUUUGGGCCUUAAGCCAGAAGAUAACUGAACCUGCCCAUGUCCUUUCUAAAACAGGGUUUGCAUUCUUUGUGGACUUUUUCAUCUAUUUGUAGAUUUUGGUAGCUUAAAGCAAGAAAAAACAAAACAAAA